UGUAGGUGUCAACCUUGGACAAUAACCCUAACAGGAGUUUCAGUUAUUGCUAUUAGCUGGUUAAUUUCGCAUUCAGUGCUAGUUACUUCACUCGUAUCAUCACUAAUACUCGCAUGGUGGUUCAUCUUCCUCUAUUCUUACCCCAAGGCAUAUUCAGAAAUGAUUGCUGAGCGAAGAGAAAGAGUUACAAAUGGUGUUGAAGACACAUAUGGUCGUACCAAGAAGCAGUGAUUUUCUGUUUAAAAUAAAACUUUCAUUCAAAUUAGGUGAAUUGGCUUAGAGAUUGUAACGUUAAUUUCUGUAUGAAUAUAUGUAACCAUGGGUUACCAACAUAUAUGAGAAUUUGCUAGCAAGAGAAAUUAUUUUUCAUA